UGGAGGUACUGGGGUCGUGUUGACUGCUAAGUGUUGAGAAACUUUACUGAUACAUCUCUUGGACUGUGAAUUUUAUAUAUUGUUCAGAAUUCUCUUUUGUUUGCAGUUUACUGCACAUGUAUUUUCACCUUUGAUUAAUCUGUCACAGAUUGGAUGUGUCAUAAAAUAGCUAAAUCCCAGCUGGGUGGUCCCAGCAUGGAGCAUUUACGCAGUUCUUCAGAAACAGAUGCAGCUCUUAGCAGAGACUACAAUGAAGGAGACUACAGAGUAGCAAGCAAGGCACAACAGUCUCCUUUCUGCCUCACCCAGUCUUUCCUCAGUGCUUCCUGGCAGCUCUUCUUGCUUUGUGACUCGAGUAUGAAGAGCACCUCCUUACUCCAGGCUGAGGACCAUGGAGUCUUACAAACUGCCUGUUCACCAACUGUUAUGAAGAGGGACAUUUGA
rnacentral:lncRNA from 1 species